AAAAACAAGGUGUGUAUCCCGAACGGUCGAUGAUCUGGGACCACAAAUACGAACGGUGGAGAUCUCUCCGGUGCUUUAGUCCUUGGAGCUCUUCAAAAAAACACACCUAAUCUGCAGUUUUCAGCAGAGAGUUACAAGAUGAGUUGAUUUUCAUGGCGCCUUUCUCAUGUCCCUACAGCCUCUGCAGCGUCCAGCGGCAAAUUUAUGGCCGAAUUUAAGACACUGCUCUCCCAACGGUCCGCUCUCUCCUCUAUCUCUCUCCUCUUCGUUGAUUGUAUAUUUGUAUGUAAGAAGAAGGUUGGGAAGAAAAGGCGGCAGGCAGCAGCAGCAGCAGGCUGAAUUGGACUCGAAGAACCCAGAAGUGCCCUCGUUUUCAAGUCAAAGGAGCCAAUUCUCUCUGCAAAUAUCCACAUCCCCACCUACAAUCUCCAUUGCCAAUUAACUACUAUUAUUGUUCUAUCACUUUUGCUCGCCAUUGCUGUCUUCUUCGUGUUCAUUCUGCUUCGGGUGAUUUUGGAACUGUUGUGUUUUGGGGAAAUGGAAGGAGAGGAUAAUUAAUUUGUUCAAUCUUAAUUUGGUUUUGGGUUUUGGUGUCGCCGCUGGCCAUUGGAGAUGAAUAAUCUCUGGAUUUUCUGCACAAUUUUGGUGUUUCUUACGGCGGCGGUGGCGGUGGCGGCGGCUCAGCCGCAGAGCCUCCUUCAAUGCAGCCCUGAUGAUAUGGUUUCUCUUAGGGCUUUUGCUGAAUCUCUUGGGUCGGUUAUUGAGGGUUGGGAAUUGGACUUUGAUUCUUCUUCUUUUUCAGCUAAUUGCUGUAAUUGGAGCGGCGUUGGUUGCAGUUCUUCGUCUUCCCUCGGCCUCGACGAUCGGGUUAACCUUGGAAGAGUCGUUCGUCUCCAGCUGGGUGGAAGAAAGCUCCGUGGAAAUAUCUCCGAAGCUUUGGGGGAUUUGGAUCAGCUCAGAACCCUAAAUCUCUCCGGCAAUUCUCUCCAGGGUUCCAUUCCUCAGUCGAUUCUCCAUUUGCCCCAUUUGGAAACCCUAGAUUUGAGUAACAACGCCAUCGCCGGAUUCUUCCCCACCAUCACGAACCUGCCGGCGAUCGGAGCAGUCGAUAUUUCUGAUAACUCCAUCAACGGCCCUGCUCCCGUCGGAAUCUGCCGGAACUCAUCCAGGAUUAAGUCUCUGAACUUCGCCGACAAUAAUUUCAGCGGAGUUCUUCCUCGCGGCCUCGGGGAUUGUGUUUCGCUGGAGGAGCUUAACCUCGCGACAAACAUGAUCGCCGGAGAAUUACCCGACGACAUUUUCCGGUUGAAAAACCUGACGAAAUUGGAUCUUCAGGAGAAUUUGUUAUCGGGGGAGCUGAGCAACAGCAUUGGUAAUCUCGUUAACCUUGUUCAUCUUGAUUUAUCGAUGAAUAUGUUUUCCGGCGCCCUGCCGGACGCCUUCCGUGGAUUUUUCCGGCUGGAAGAAUUUUCAGCUCAAUCGAAUCAAUUCUCCGGCAGAAUUCCGGUGUCUUUGGCGAAUUCGCCGACGAUCAAAUCACUUACAUUAAGGAACAAUUCCUUAACUGGCACCAUUGAUCUCAACUGUUCUGCCAUGGUUAAUCUCGCCUCACUAAACUUAGCCACCAAUCAGUUCCACGGCGAGAUUCCGGCGAACCUCCCGGCAUGUUCGAAGCUCCGAACUGUAAAUUUCGGCAAGAUCAGCUUCUCAGGAGAAGUCCCAGAAACUUUCAAGAAUUUCCAGAGCCUGGUUUCGCUAUCCCUCUCCAACUGCAGCAUUACGAAUCUUUCUGCGACAUUGGACGUUUUGCAGCACUGCAAGAACUUGACAACAUUAGUCCUAAGUUUGAAUUUCCGCGGCGAGGCAAUGCCGGAGGGUUCUAAUCUUCAGUUUGGUGCGCUGAAGACGCUCGUGAUCGCCAACUGCGGCCUCAAAGGUCGAAUACCGGAAUGGUUGAACGGCUGCAAGAACUUGCAGCUGUUGGAUUUGUCGUGGAACCGUUUGCACGGCCCGAUUCCGUCGUGGUUCGGCAGUUUGUCGUCUCUAUUUUACUUGGAUUUGUCGAACAACACGAUCGGAGGCGACAUCCCGAGAGAACUUUCUCAAAUGCAUAGUCUGAUCAAUGGCGGGAAUGCUUUGAUGGAAGGAUCAACGACAAUGGAUUUCCCGUUCUUCGUGAGAAGGAACCAGAGCGGAUUCAAGUACAAACAGGUCGUGAGCUUUCCUCCGACGUUGGAGCUCGGGAACAACUUUCUUACUGGACAGAUCUGGCCGGAGCUCGGGAAUUUGAAAGAGUUGCACGUUUUGGAUCUCAAAGGGAAUAACUUGUCGGGAGCUAUCCCGAGCACGUUGUCGGGGAUGAAGAGCUUAGAAAUCUUGGAUUUGUCAUUUAACAAUCUGAAUGGAACGAUACCCGAUUCUUUGAGUCGUCUCACCUUUUUGAGAACGUUUAACGUCGCCCAUAACAAUCUCUCUGGUCGAAUUCCGACCGGAGGUCAGUUCUUUUCGUUUUACAAUUCGAGCUUCGAGGGAAAUCCGGGUCUUUGUGGAGAACAUGCUUCUCAUUCUUGUCCCGGCGACGACGACCCUCGAGUAUGGUUCGAGAGACCGGAGAGAUCGAAAGGUUCGAGUAUUGCAAUGGGGGUAGGCAUUGGGCUAGGAAGUGUAGUUAUUCUCAUCCUUGUCUAUUUAAUAAUAGUUUGCUCGUGCCCGCGGAAAGUUGUCGACCAAAAAAACGAGGAGGAUAUGGAUGUUUCGGAAAUGGAAGAAUCGUCGAGCCUCGUCAUUCUAUGCCAGAGCAAGGACGACGAAAAACAGAUCUUUCUCGACGAUCUUUUGAAAUCGACGGCUAAUUUCGAUCAAGCGAACAUCAUCGGUUGCGGUGGGUUCGGUUUGGUGUAUAAGGCCGUGCUGUCGGACGGAAGAAAAGUGGCGAUCAAGCGCCUCUCGGGCGAAUAUUUUCAGAUGGAAAGGGAAUUCCAAGCCGAGAUCGAGACACUAUCGAGAGCCGUGCAUCCGAACCUUGUCCAUCUUCAGGGGUACUGCAAGUAUAGAAACGAUCGUCUCCUGAUCUACACGUACAUGGAGAACAGCAGCCUCGAUUACUGGCUGCACGAGAAAGUCGACGGGCAGUCGUUGUUGGAUUGGGCGAAGCGGCUCGAGAUCGCGAGAGGCGCAGCGCGAGGACUCGCGUAUUUGCACUUAUCCUGCGAGCCUCAUAUCCUCCACCGCGACAUAAAGUCGAGCAAUAUUCUGUUAAACGAGAAUUUCGAAGCUCAUUUGGCCGAUUUCGGGCUCGCACGACUCAUCCUGCCGUACGACACUCAUGUGACGACCGAUCUUGUCGGGACGCUCGGGUACAUUCCGCCAGAGUACAGCCAGGCUUCGGUAGCAACUUACAAAGGCGAUGUUUAUAGUUUCGGGGUCGUUCUUUUGGAGCUUUUGACGAGCAAAAGGCCUAUGGAUAUGUGCAGACCGAAAGCGUGCCGGGAUUUGAUAUCGUGGGUGACACAGAUGAGGAUGGAGAAGAAAGAAACCGAGGUGUUCGAUCCAUUUGUGUAUGAAAAAGAGCAUGCUCGCGAAAUGCUGAUCGUUCUUGAGAUCGCUUGUUUGUGCUUGAAUGAAAAUCCGCGAACACGGCCGGAUGUGCAGCAGCUGGUUUCUUGGCUCGACAACAUUGAUUCGAUUUCAGCGCUCGAAUCGUCGGGUUAGUGAAGAUGAGAGUUGCCAUCAAUUGAAGUUGAAAAGAGCAAUGUGGAAAGUUCAAGAUCGAUUUUUGAAGUAGAUUGCAUGACAUCAAUAGGGUUCAAAUUGUCAAACCCAAAGUCAGAAAGAAAAGAACAGCGACCUGACCCAUGACAACAGUUUGGCUGGGUCAGGGUCAGGAUCAGGGCUGGGCUAAAGACAGGGCCUCCACUGCAAGAGUAACACCGAUGUUUUCGAUUUUGAUAUGGUCGGAUCCUCCGGAAUUUCUGUUCAUACA